GCCUUCGUGGUGUAGUGGUGAGCACGCUUGAUGCGUAUUCGAGAGGUCCAUGGUUCGAAUCCCGAUGAGGGCA
rnacentral:tRNA from 1 species